AAUACCAGUAAUUUUUACUUCGUCUAGAGGCUUGUCAUGAGUGUCAACUCUGGUGUUCUCGAUUCUUCGGACGACGUCCUGCAGGAAAAAAAGCAUUAAUUUAGACGAAGAAAACUCGGCGCCCGAGCUGCGUUUACUAAGAGCUUCAUUUGCUGGAAUAAGCACACCACACGACGUCCUGCAGGAAAAAAAGCAUUAAGUUAGACGAAGAAAAUUCGGCACCCGAGCUGCGUUUGCUAAAAGCUUCAUUUUCAGGCAUCCACACACGAAGCAAGUAGCCUCUCUAUUUCCGCUGCCAUUAGUGUCAAGAGCAAACUUGAGAUAAUGCACUAUCUAUGUAUCAUAAUGUGUCAAUCCUCGGGCUUUCUUUCGUCUCCGCGUACUCCCGCUUCCAGUCUCCGCGUCGCCCUGUGUCCCCGAGGAUGUAAAAUGGCAUGCUUGUUACAGGGUUUGUUAGAUUAGCCUAUGGAACCACUGACCAUUCCUUCGAGAACCUUCCCGAAGCACGUGUGACUGCCAUCGAGCCACGAAGUCUUGAUCGUAGUAAUGUAGAACUGGGAACCGUUCGUGUUCUUGCCGGCGUUCGCCAUGCACAACCAGCCAGGACCAUAGUGCUUCAGGUUGAAGUUCUCGUCGUCGAAAUAUUUACCAUAGAUGCUAUAUCCUGAUGACAAGGCAACCUAUCAGAGACUGGUCGAAGGUUUUAAAAGGAAAGAUCAGAAGGGAAGUUAAUAACGCAUUUUAAAAGGGGCAGCAUCAUCAGCUACGCAUCUAGUAUAAGCAUGCGGUAUCAUGCUUUUCUUGGGACAUACAUAGUGAAACCUCUUUCAGUCAGAUGACAAAGAGAAUAAACUUCUGUGUGUUUUUUUUU